rnacentral:rRNA from 1 species
GACGAACGCUGGCGGCGUGCUUAAUACAUGCAAGUCGAACGGAAAGGCCCUGAUUUUGUGGGGUGCUCGAGUGGCGAACGGGUGAGUAACACGUGAGUAACCUGCCCUUGACUUUGGGAUAACUUUAGGAAACUGGGGCUAAUACCGGAUAGGAGCUCCUGCUGCACGGUGGGGGUUGGAAAGUUUCGGCGGUUGGGGAUGGAUUCGCGGCUUAUCAGCUGGUUGGUGGGGUAGUGGCUGACCAAGGGUUAGACGGGUAGGCGGCCUGAGAGGGUGGCCGGCCACAUGGGGACUAAGGGACGCACCAGACUCCAACGGGCGGCAACGGGGGAGAGUAUUGCAGAAUAGGCGGGAGUCAGUGACAGAAACGCCGCGUGCGUGAUGACGUCCUUCGAGUUAUGAACCGCUUUCGACUGAGCCGAAGCGGGAGUGACGGUAAUGGGUAAGGAAGCACCGGCUAACUACGUG